rnacentral:rRNA from 1 species
GGGUUGUGAGGUUAAGCGACCAAGCGUACACGGUGGAUGCCCUGGCAGUCAGAGGCGAUGAAGGACGUGCUAAUCUGCGAAAAGCGCCGGUAAGGUGAUAUGAACCGUUAUAACCGGCGAUGUCCGAAUGGGGAAACCCAGUGUGACUCGUCACACUAUCAUUAACUGAAUCCAUAGGUUAAUGAGGCGAACCGGGGGAACUGAAACAUCUAAGUACCCCGAGGAAAAGAAAUCAACCGAGAUUCCCCCAGUAGCGGCGAGCGAACGGGGAGGAGCCCAGAGCCUGAAUCAGCAUGUGUGUUAGUGGAAGCGUCUGGAAAGGCGCGCGAUACAGGGUGAGAGCCCCGUACACAAAAGCGCACAUGCUGUGAGCUCGAUGAGUAGGGCGGGACACGUGGUAUCCUGUCUGAAUAUGGGGGGACCAUCCUCCAAGGCUAAAUACUCCUGACUGACCGAUAGUGAACCAGUACCGUGAGGGAAAGGCGAAAAGAACCCCGGCGAGGGGAGUGAAACAGAACCUGAAACCGUGUACGUACAAGCAGUGGGAGCCUCUCUUUAUGGGGGGUGACUGCGUACCUUUUGUAUAAUGGGUCAGCGACUUAUAUUCUGUAGCAAGGUUAACCGCAUAGGGGAGCCGAAGGGAAACCGAGUCUUAAUUGGGCGUUAAGUUGCAGGGUAUAGACCCGAA